rnacentral:rRNA from 1 species
UACGUAGGGGGCUAGCGUUGUCCGGAAUCAUUGGGCGUAAAGAGCGUGUAGGCGGCUUGGUAAGUCCGCUGUGAAAGUCCAGGGCUCAACCCUGGAAUGCCAGUGGAUACUGUCAAGCUAGAGUCCGGAAGAGGCGAGUGGAAUUCCUGGUGUAGCGGUGAAAUGCGCAGAUAUCAGGAGGAACACCAAUGGCGAAGGCAGCUCGCUGGGACGGUACUGACGCUGAGACGCGAAAGCGUGGGGAACAAACAGG